CCUACGGGCGGCAGCAGUGAGGAAUAUUGGUCAAUGGACGAGAGUCUGAACCAGCCAAGUAGCGUGAAGGAUGACUGCCCUAUGGGUUGUAAACUUCUUUUAUAUGGGAAUAAAACGUUCCACGUGUGGGAUUUUGUAUGUACCAUAUGAAUAAGGAUCGGCUAACUCCGUGCCAGCAGCCGCGGUAAUACGGAGGAUCCGAGCGUUAUCCGGAUUUAUUGGGUUUAAAGGGAGCGUAGGUGGAUUGUUAAGUCAGUUGUGAAAGUUUGCGGCUCAACCGUAAAAUUGCAGUUGAAACUGGCAGUCUUGAGUACAGUAGAGGUGGGCGGAAUUCGUGGUGUAGCGGUGAAAUGCGUAGAUAUCACGAAGAACACCGAUUGCGAAGGCAGUUCACUGGACUGCAACUGACACUGAGGCGCGAAAGUGUGGGUAUCAAACAGGAUUAGAUACCCCUGUAGUC
rnacentral:rRNA from 1 species